GUUCUUGUAGCUUACACAAAGCAUGGCACUGAAGAUGCCAAGACGGCUGUCAACACGCACCCAAGAACA
rnacentral:tRNA from 1 species